UGGGGUGUGGCUCAGUGGUAGAGUGGUCGCCUAGCAAGUAUAAGGCACUGGGUUCGAUCCUCAGCAUCACAU
rnacentral:tRNA from 1 species